GUCCCAGAGGACCCUGCGCGAGUUUCCGGGAAGGGAGCGCGGAGGAUUUGUCUGUUGGGUUUGGUAGUCGGCCUCCCAAAUUUACUAACCCGUAACCGGGAGGAGGUGUUUCUCACGGUUGUCUAACAUUUUAGAGAGUACAACGCACUUUUACACUCUUCAUUUCACUAGAUUCUUAUAAAAACCCUAUGAGAGAAGGUUCAUAAGCCAGAAGAACUGGCAUCGAGUACUGACUGCCACCAAUACUCAUUCUCCCUUCCACGACGUCAGUUCCCUUUCCUCUUGGAUGGGAAGCCCUGCCCUAUUCAAUAGAGAGGGGAGAGGGGCUGGAAAUGGAGUUGACUGAUCAUGCCUACAUGAGGAAGACUCCGUAAAAUGCCAAUAGUAUGGGGUUUGGAGAGCUUGCAGGUUGGUGAACACAUCAUGUAGCAGGAGGAUGAUGCACCCCAACUGCAUGAGGACAGAAGCUCCUGCACUCCACCCUCCCAGACCUUGCCUGUGCAUCUCUUCAUCUGGUUGGUCAUCUUAACAGCAUCACAGCCUCUAACCUUCUGAUGUCUGAAGCAAAUACUGUCAGGAAAUCAUCAAUAACAAUCGUACAGUACAAGAAUUUCAGCUCAGAAGAAGACAUUUUGGUGAUUGGAAACUUUCCAAAUGAUAGCUCUCUCCUGAACGGAGAUGUGAGUAGCUUUUUUCUCCUGUUACUCAUGACCUGUGGUAGUUUGCAAAAACAGUACAAAUUCUUCCUCUCCCUGUGACCGUGACCUUUGCAGCAUCUCCCUUCAACAGAUGGAGUCUGUUUCUUUACCUUCAUGGCUUUCUUACUUGAUUUGACCAAAAGAAUGCAAUAGAAGUUGUGUGCCAUUUCUAAGCCUCAAAAAUAUUUGUAACUGGAGGCUUUCGAUUUUCAAACUUUGCCAGUCUACCACAGGAACAAGCCAAAGAUAGCUUGCUGGAUAAUGAAAGACACCUGGGCCCAUUGCCUCAGCCCACAACCCGUCAAACCCCAGGAGUAGAGCUACCUAUUUGACUUGCAGCUGACCAGAGACAUGAAUGAACCCAGUCAGGACCGGAAGAACCACUCAGCUGAGCUUAGCCCAAAUAGAAUCUUGAGUUAGAUAAAUUUGAGAUGUUUCAUUAUGCAGCAAAAGCUAACUUCCAUGUAGUUCCCUCACAAUUUGUGAUUAUUUUUUAUUGAUUAAUCUUCCUUCCCUAUAAUGAAUACUAGUAGUUAUUUAACAUCUGUUUCCCACCUUAUUCCUUGUUAAAAGAACCCCAAUUUUAAAACAAUGUUGUGGUGAGAAUAUAGGGAAUCAGAUUUUUUUUAAAGAACCCCAAUUUUGCUCUUAAAUCCACCUCUCUUCCAUGAGACCCAAGAGCCCAAGAGAAGAUCCUGCUUAAUCUAAUCAACAAGUUGCCGUUGCCCUUGUGGUAAUUGUUUUAGGAUCAGUCCCAUAACUGAAUUCUGGUCAAUGACACCUGAAUGGAAGUCUGCUGGGGUCUUCUGAGAAAGGUGUCUUGGUCUUAAGAAGGUCACAUAAAAAAAUAAUUACUCUCUCCCUUUGUAUGUUCAUAUAUCUGAAAAUGACACCUGGAGUUGUAGCAACCAUCUUAAAACUUUGAAGAGAACAACCUGAGAAAAUAGCCAGCACAAUCAGGAAGGCAACACAGAGUUGAAAAUAACUUAAGUCUUUAUUAAUGUCUUGUACUGUUGAACCAACCAGCCCUGGAAUCUAUCCUACCUCUGUACUUAAGGUUAUGCAAAGUAAUUCAUUUCUCUAUUGCUUAAGCCAAUUUUAAUUGACUUUGCUGUUACUUACAGCUGAUGUUAUAAUUAAUACAACUCUCACUAGAAUAUAAGCUCCAAGACGGUAGGGAACAUGUCUGCUGUUUGCCACUUACCUCCAGUGCCAAGCCCAGCAUCUGCCCCCUAGUAAGCAUUUAAUAGUUAUUUAUUGAAUGAAUGAAAGUAUACCAAUAAUCAUUAAUUAUGUCUGCAGUUGAUACUUCACUAGAUAGUAUAAAGAUCUGUUAGGGAGCCUGACUAUUCUGGAUUGUGAGCCCUUCAAGAAUAGGACUCUAUCUUCAUUCCCUAGUACCUGGCAUGCAGUAGAUCUCUACCCAUUUGUUGUAUCAAUGUCCUACGUUACAGAAUUUGGCCAACUCUCCAGCAGGGGGGGCACAUGACCAGGUGUUCUGAGUGCUAGGAACUCUCCUUUAUCCAUUCAUCAACCUCUUCUCUGCUGCCUUCCCCUGUAAUCUUCCCCACUUGGAGCUUGCCUACAUGGGAGCUCAGGAGAAGGGAUAUUUCCAUAUUUAGGAAUCAGGCCCCCAUCUGAGACCUGGGACAGAAACUGCUAGAUCCCAGACACAGAGGUGACCCAACAGACAGCAAAAUUAUUAGCAAUUCCCCAUCACUCCCACCAGUAGCUUUGAACAUGAGUUUGGGAGUUAGCCAUAGUGAGAAAGUUUCAAAUGACUGUGGAAAGUUGUGCUGGGCUGGGUUAAACAUAAACUUAAUCUGUGCAUCAAAAUCAGCUGGGUGAGCCUUAAAAAAAAAAUACUGAAUUUGAAUCUCUCAGACUGGGACUCAGAGAUCUGUCAUAGGCUCUUUAAUGAUUUUGGUGCACUCUUUCUGCAGACCAGCAUCUGGGAACCAUUACAUGGCACAGGUUUAUACAGGGACCUAAUUAAUGCAAUGUUCUGCACAGCUGGCCAAUUAAAUAUAUAAAUAAGUGAUUCUUGUCUACUAGGAGCUCAUAUUUCAAGGCAAAGGCAAGACAUUAUCAUUUUGGAAAGCCCCUCGCAAAAGGUUUUGGCUUCCAAGAGUUACAACACUGUUGCAGCCAGCUUUAUCCAGAGAUUUGAGGGAAACAGUGCAGAACUCCUAUAUGGCUGCCACCCAGAACUGGAAUUAAGCCUUGAUUUGCAAUCAGUCUUUCAGAAAGAUAAGCCAGACCUUUUCAAUAUAAAAUUUUAGCAGUUUAGAAAGUGAGUUUGCAUCAAAUUAAAAAGUCAAUUAAUGGCCAAUACAGGGUGCUACACAUUUCUCAUAGUCAAUGAUUUAUGACAACCCACAAUCAAAUGAUUUUAGAAUUAUGAAACAUAGAUAGACACUCCGUCACUCUUUACACAAAAUGUAACAGAAAUCACCCAACUUUUUACAAUUCAGAUCAGCCUGGGGUAACUGAAGCAAGUAAGUUGAAAUGAAUCUGUUUUCAUUCAUCCGAAGUCUUGGUUUGCGUCAGAAAAUAACCACAAAAUACCAAGAAUCUUUUUAGAAAUCCACCAGUUCAAUUCCAAAACGAUAGUAAUUUUCUACAAAUCACAAUAGGGGAAAUCCAUAGGUGAUAAAUGAAAGUAGGGGAAGUUACAAACUUUACAGUGUUAGAGAUACGUUUGGUGGUUAAAGAGACUAAGAAGCAUUUUUUCACUUAUGCUUUAUUUCUUACAAUAUGGGUCCUGUUCCCAAUCUCCUUGGUAAAAACUAUUCAGACUCAUUUCCCCUAGAUCAAUGUGUUUCUAACUGCAGGUUGAGAUCCAUUGUGGGGUGUGAAAUCAACUUAGUGUGCCACAAC